GGCCAUUGGACCAACGGCCUUUCCGUCCAGGGACUCCGCAUGGUUACCUUCAGGCAGCCACGGCAGCAAAGGCCACAGACCGCCGCCGCUGCCGUCAGCUCCCUCGGGGCCGAAGCCCCGGCGCCACAGCAAAGCUGCAAGCAGUCCGACCCGCCGUAGUCACCACAGCCGGGGCCCAGCCUCGCCACGCCCGUCGCCAGCAACCUGCAGCUGACGACCACCAGCGACAGCAUCGGGUCCACAGCACCGGGUCCACAGCAUCGGGUCCACAAACGCUGCUGGGGACGCAGGGCAGAGCAAACGACACUGCCGCUGUGCCCCAACUCCGGCCGGCAAGCCACGGCAAAUGCAAAGGCUGCGGGGGAAGCAAGCCCAGCCACGCCAAACCGCCGGCCCGCUUUCUGCCGAAACGGCUCUGGUGGCAUCCCCCAACACUCCAAAGAUGAUUCCAGGAAGAAGACCAAGGCAGCAGCAAAUCUUUCUCGCUAAAACCAACAAACUGCCGAAACACUGAGAGAGCCUUCUCAACUUCAAACCGCCAUCUUAGACAUGCGCAGACUGAAAACCCUAUUCAUAUCCUUUCUUGCUAACAUUUUUUCAUUGUUGAUUUAAAAGGUCAUUUUUGUGUCAUGAACAAACAAUGGCCACUACAUUGGUAUUUCUAAGAGCUGAUCUGGAACUUUGAUUCUUUGCACAUGGAUCCCACUAAAGGGAAGAAGAAAUAUUUGAUCUAUCAUUUGGAAGAAAGAGGGAAGGCAAGAACUUACUCCAGGUUACCAAGGAUGACAUGGGCUAUGUGGCUCUCAGCACCGUACUAUCAUUUUCAGAGACUUGCUUUUCCCAAUUUCUUCCUUCAGGGAUUUGAGUUGGCUGCUCACUCAUCAUCUUCCAGUAAUGAAAUGUCACAUCUCAGCCUUGACAAAUGUUCCAACAGAUUUUAUGGAAAUUCUUCUUUGGGUGAAUGUAGGAAUGUCUCCCGAUGACUGUCUCCGCCUUGCUCUGGGUCCUUUCAGAUUCCACGGAUACUUUUUUCUGGCCCUGGCAGCCAUCAUCACUCUGAAACCAGGAUCUAUCAAUCAAAUAGAUUCCAU
rnacentral:lncRNA from 1 species